AACGAACGCUGGCGGCAUGCCUAACACAUGCAAGUCGAACGAGACCUUCGGGUCUAGUGGCGCACGGGUGCGUAACGCGUGGGAACCUGCCCUUAGGUUCGGAAUAACUCCCCGAAAGGGGUGCUAAUACCGGAUAAUGUCUUCGGACCAAAGAUUUAUCGCCUUUGGAUGGGCCCGCGUUGGAUUCGCUAGUUGGUAGGGUAAACGCCUACCAAGGCGACGAUCCAUAGCUGGUCUGAGAGGAUGAUCAGCCACACUGGGACUGAGACACGGCCCAGACUCCUACGGGAGGCAGCAGUGGGGAAUAUUGGACAAUGGGCGAAAGCCUGAUCCAGCAAUGCCGCGUGAGUGAUGAAGGCCUUAGGGUUGUAAAGCUCUUUUACCCGGGAUGAUAAUGACAGUACCGGGAGAAUAAGCUCCGGCUAACUCCGUG
rnacentral:rRNA from 1 species